rnacentral:misc_RNA from 1 species
GAAGGAGCUUCAGGGUUCAUUUUAGUUCAUCUUCUUGAACAGGUAUGUGUUAAGAAUAAGGUGGAAAAGGGGCUUGAUGAGAAUCGGAAGUUUUGUGCAUCCUGCAUUUUUGUUCUGCGCAUGUUCUUAUUUGCUAAGUAGCUCAGUACAUAGCAAUCAACUCUAUUCUAUAUUCCCAAGUUCAUUGUUUUAAUGUGCUUAAGGAACUACAUAUAGCAAUUAGCACGUAUAGCAAAACUUUUAAACUUCUUUAAUUUAUUAGAUGAAACUAAUUGAAAUUUUUUGUGUGAUCAAAAGGUCAGUGUAAAUAUAUAGCUAGAUAAAGCUUAAAAUAAAGUGCAAAAUGAUUAGUCACAAAAUUGGAUCAAAUAACUUAAAUUAAAUAUCACUGUUAUUGAGGAUGAAACUUGCUAUAGUGGAAUCCACAUCCAUUCAAGGCCUCACUGUUCUUAAUUGUGCCACAGCCAAAUAGAGAUAUAUCCUAGCUAGCUUUAUCCCAUUUUAGUUAGAGCUAUGAAAAUUUCAGCCUUUAGUUAGGUUAGGCUUUUUCUGUCCAGUAUAACUUAUUUCACAUUGCUAUCUCAAAGUAAUCUACAUCGUAAUUUGAGGUAAGAAGACUUCUAUAAAUCUUACAUAUAUGAACUGAAAGAAGAUGAAAAAUCCAAUUUAAUCAACAAUUGUAUUGAUAAAUAAGUUGAUUGAUUAUCAACAUCUUUGGUAAACAUGACAGCUUGUGUACUCUGAACAUGAUGCAAUUUCCAUUAUAUGGGUAAUUG